AUUGAACGCUGGCGGCAGGCCUAACACAUGCAAGUCGAGCGGUAACACAGGGAGCUUGCUCCUGGGUGACGAGCGGCGGACGGGUGAGUAAUGUCUGGGAAACUGCCUGAUGGAGGGGGAUAACUACUGGAAACGGUAGCUAAUACCGCAUAACGUCGCAAGACCAAAGAGGGGGACCUUCGGGCCUCUUGCCAUCCGAUGUGCCCAGAUGGGAUUAGCUAGUAGGUGGGGUAACGGCUCACCUAGGCGACGAUCCCUAGCUGGUCUGAGAGGAUGACCAGCCACACUGGAACUGAGACACGGUCCAGACUCCUACGGGAGGCAGCAGUGGGGAAUAUUGCACAAUGGGCGCAAGCCUGAUGCAGCCAUGCCGCGUGUAUGAAGAAGGCCUUCGGGUUGUAAAGUACUUUCAGCGGGGAGGAAGGUGUUGAGGUUAAUAACCUCAGCAAUUGACGUUACCCGCAGAAGAAGCACCGGCUAACUACGUGCCAGCCGCCGCCGUAA
rnacentral:rRNA from 1 species